CAGUCGCCGCGGGAAUACGGAGGGUGCAAGCGUUAAUCGGAAUUACUGGGCGUAAAGCGCGCGUAGGUGGUUUAUUAAGUUGGAUGUGAAAUCCCCGGGCUCAACCUGGGAAUUGCAGUGGAUACUGGGUCACUAGAGUGUGGUAGAGGAUAGUGGAAUUUCCGGUGUAGCAGUGAAAUGCGUAGAGAUCGGAAGGAACAUCAGUGGCGAAGGCGACUAUCUGGGCCAACACUGUCACUGAGGCACGAAAGCGUGGGGAGCAAACAGGAUUAGAUACCCGGGUAGUCCCUGUCUCUUAUAC
rnacentral:rRNA from 1 species